UAAGUGGGAGGAGUUGGGUGUGUGUGGGUGGGGUUGGUUGGGUGGGGUUGUUGGGUGGCGAUGGUGUCCGCGAGGGCGCUGUCUGCGACUCGACUCUCGACUCCUGAUUCCCAAAAAGCACACACCCGCACCCAAAUGCGCCGGAUCCCGAGAGGGAGAAGGACACAUGAGCGUGAAGAGUGACUUAGGCGUUUAGCAAUAAAUA
rnacentral:misc_RNA from 1 species